UUUGAAGCGCGGAAUGCAUUUUUAACAACAUCAGGACUAAUUGGGGAGUUGACGAUUUGGAAAAAUCCCGUAGAUUCACAAGCGGCGCGAAGUUGUUGAAUAAUACGCUCAUGAGCACCGGGUUCUUGGUUUACGUACGGACCGAAGUCGAUCAGGGGCAUGAUACGAUUUUGUUCCUCCAACGAGGCCUCACGAACAUACUGAGUAGAGCGUUCAAUUAGUUGCGAAAGCAUUAUGCAGAAUGUGAAUUAAGUAGAAAAGAAAAAAUUAAAAAUAAUAGGAUUUAAAAUGCAAAAGCAGGAUUUGAAAAUGUGAAAGGAUGAUGUAAAAAUGGGUG